AGGAGAAACUAAAAAAGUGGAUUGCAAUUUUUGCACGUGCAAUGACGAAGGGACUGGUUUUAUGUGUACCGAAAUGGCUUGUUUAGAACAAUAUUGUGAACCAGG